GCUUACGGCCACACGUCUCGUCUCGUCUGAUCUCGGAAGCUAAGCAGGGUCGGGCCUGGUCAGUACUUGGAUGGGAGACCGCCUGGGAAUACCAGGUGCUGUAAGCU
ensembl:rRNA 5S_rRNA 5S ribosomal RNA